GAUGAACGCUGGCGGCGUGCCUAACACAUGCAAGUCGAGCGAACGGACGAUAAGCUUGCUUCUCUGAUGUUAGCGGCGGGCGGGUGAGUCACGCGUGGAUCACCUCCCUCUUUUUCGUGGAUAAUUACGGAAAACCGGAGCUACUACCGGCGAAUAUUUUGCACCGCUGUGUUCAAAAGUGCAUGACGGCUUUGCUGUCUGUUUUAGCUGGUUCCGCGCUGGAUUAGCUAGUUGGUAAGGUAACGGCUUACCAAGGCAACGAUGCAUAGCCGACCUGAGAGGGGGAUCGGCCACACUGGAACUGAGACACGGUCCAGACUCCUACGGGAGGCAGCAGUAGGGAAUCUUCCGCAAUGGGCGAAAGCCUGACGGAGCAACGCCGCGUGAGUGAAGAAGGUCUUCGGAUCGUAAAACCCUGUUAUUGGGGAAGAACAGAUGUGGAAGUAACUGUGGACAUCUUGACGGUACCUAAUCAGAAAGCAACGGCUAACUACGUG
rnacentral:rRNA from 1 species